ACUUACCCAAUUCUGACACGGAGAGGUAGUGACAAGAAAUAAGAUACAGGGCAUUCAUGUCUUGUACUUGGGCUGAGUAGAAUGUAAACGACUCUAUGAGUAUCAAUUGGAGGGCAAGUCUGGUGCCAGCAGCCGCGGUAACUCCAGCUCCAAUAGCGUAUAUUGAAGUUGUUGCGGUUAAAAAGCUCGUCGUUGGAUUUCUGUUGAGGUCGAACAGUGCCGCCCUAUGGGUGCGCAACUGGCUCGGCUUCGGCAUCUUCUUGGAGAGCGUAUCUGCACUUAACUGUGUGGAUCGUACUUCAAGUCAGUUACUUUGAGGAAUUGUGAGUGUUUCAAGCAGGCUUACGCCGUUGAAUCCGUUAGCAUGGAAUAAUAGAAUAGGACCUCGGUUCUAUUUUGUUGGUUUUGAGAGCUGGGGCAGCGAUUGAUAGGGACGGAUGGGGGCGUCCGAACUUUACUGUCAGAGGUGAAAUUCUUAGAUCGGUCAAAGGCGAACUACUGCGAACGCAUUCGCCAAGAAUGUUUUCUUUAAUCAAGAACGAAAGUUAGGGGAUCGAAGACGAUCAGAUACCGUCCUAGUCUUAACCAUAAACGUUACUGACUAGAGAUUGGAGGUUGUGAUUCACAAACUCCAUCAGCACCUCUAUGUGUAAACAAAGUCUUUGAGUUCUGGGGGGAGUAUGGUCGCAAGACUGAAACUUAAAGGAAUUGACGGAAGGGCACCACCAGGAGUGGAACCUGCGGCUUAAUUUGACUCAACACGGGGAAAC
rnacentral:rRNA from 1 species